rnacentral:rRNA from 1 species
AGAGUUUGAUCCUGGCUCAGGAUGAACGCUGGCGGCGUGCUUAACACAUGCAAGUCGAGCGGAGGUUUAAAGCGGAAGUUUUCGGAUGGAAGCAAUAAACCUUAGCGGCGGACGGGUGAGUAACGCGUGGGUAACCUGCCUCAUACAGGGGGAUAACAGUUAGAAAUGACUGCUAAAACCGCAUAAGCGCACAUUGUCGAGUGACAGAGUGUGAAAAACUCCGGUGGUAUGAGAUGGACCCGCGUCUGAUUAGCUAGUUGGUGAGGUAACGGCCCACCAAGGCGACGAUCAGUAGCCGGCCUGAGAGGGCGACCGGCCACAUUGGGACUGAGACACGGCCCAAACUCCUACGGGAGGCAGCAGUGGGGAAUAUUGCACAAUGGGGGAAACCCUGAUGCAGCGACGCCGCGUGAGUGAAGAAGUAUUUCGGUAUGUAAAGCUCUAUCAGCAGGGAAGAAGAAAGACGGUACCUGACUAAGAAGCCCCGGCUAACUACGUGCCAGCAGCCGCGGU